rnacentral:rRNA from 1 species
ACUGGUGUUCGGGUUGUCAUGCCAAUGGCACUGCCCGGUAGCUAAAUGCGGAAGAGAUAAGUGCUGAAAGCAUCUAAGCACGAAACUUGCCCCGAGAUGAGUUCUCCCUGACUCCCUGAGAGUCCUGAAGGAACGUUGAAGACGACGACGUUGAUAGGCCGGGUGUGUAAGCGCAGCGAUGCGUUGAGCUAACCGGUACUAAUGAACCGUGAGGCUUAACCUUACAACGCCGAAGMUGUU